rnacentral:rRNA from 1 species
UACGUAGGGGGCGAGCGUUGUCCGGAUUUAUUGGGCGUAAAGAGCUCGUAGGCGGUUUGGCAAGUCGGGUGUGAAAACUCCGGGCUCGACUCGGAGACGCCACUCGAUACUGCCAUGACUCGAGUCCGGUAGGGGAGUGCGGAAUUCCUGGUGUAGCGGUGAAAUGCGCAGAUAUCAGGAGGAACACCGGUGGCGAAGGCGGCACUCUGGGCCGGUACUGACGCUGAGGAGCGAAAGCGUGGGGAGCGAACAGG